rnacentral:rRNA from 1 species
UACAGAGGUGGCAAGCGUUGUUCGGAAUUACUGGGCGUAAAGGGCGCGUAGGCGGCCUUCUAAGUCAGACGUGAAAUCCCCCGGCUUAACCUGGGAACUGCGUCUGAUACUGGGAAGCUUGAGUAUGGGAGAGGGAUGUAGAAUUCCAGGUGUAGCGGUGAAAUGCGUAGAUAUCUGGAGGAAUACCGGUGGCGAAGGCGGCAUCCUGGACCAUAACUGACGCUGAGGCGCGAAAGCUAGGGGAGCAAACGGG